rnacentral:rRNA from 1 species
UGGGGAAUAUUGCACAAUGGGCGCAAGCCUGAUGCAGCCAUGCCGCGUGUAUGAAGAAGGCCUUCGGGUUGUAAAGUACUUUCAGCGAGGAAGAAGGCGUUGUGGUUAAUAACCGCAACGAUUGACGUUACUCGCAGAAGAAGCACCGGCUAACUCCGUGCCAGCAGCCGCGGUAAUACGGAGGGUGCAAGCGUUAAUCGGAAUUACUGGGCGUAAAGCGCACGCAGGCGGUCUGUCAAGUCGGAUGUGAAAUCCCCGGGCUCAACCUGGGAACUGCAUCCGAAACUGGCAGGCUAGAGUCUUGUAGAGGGGGGUAGAAUUCCAGGUGUAGCGGUGAAAUGCGUAGAGAUCUGGAGGAAUACCGGUGGCGAAGGCGGCCCCCUGGACAAAGACUGACGCUCAGGUGCGAAAGCGUGGGGAGCAAACA